rnacentral:rRNA from 1 species
UACAUAGGGUGCGAGCGUUAUUCGGAAUUACUGGGCGUAAAGCGCGCGUAGGCGGCUUUGCAAGUCGGGUGUGAAAUCCCCAGGCUUAACCUGGGAACUGCAUUCGAGACUGCAUUGCUAGAGUAUGGGAGAGGGAAGUGGAAUUUCCGGUGUAGCGGUGAAAUGCGUAGAUAUCGGAAGGAACAUCAGUGGCGAAAGCGACGUCCUGGACCAAUACUGACGCUCAUGUGCGAAAGCGUGGGGAGCAAACAGG